GGAGGCAGACCACCCUGCAUAUUUUUCACCUUUCCACCUCAACUUUAAACUUUGCUUAUUAUUUAAACCUUGUUAUAAAUUACAUCAUUUAAACCAUGUAACUUAAAAGGCCACAAAGUCAUCUACGUAGCCAAUGUCCCGAUGCCUGAGGAAGAUGCUCCUUCUUUUUUUUUUUUUAUUUAUUCAUUCAUUUAUUUAAGGACGCUCCUUCUUGAGAAGCCCCUGCUUCAGGUGUCCUGAUUCUGCCCCUUUCCUUCCUCUGACAGCCGCCUGCACUUGAUCCUGAAGCGACCUUAUCCCUUCUCUCGGCCUAAUCAAUUCACUAACUGUAUUCUGCGCUGAUUUGCCCUAAAGGCAAGGAUCUGACCUCAUCAGACUGAAGGUCACGAAGGAUGACCCCCUCCUGUUCUAUGGCUUUCUGGGCUUCUGAUAAUUCCAUUUUAUUUUAUUUUAUUUUUCCUAGGUUAUUUUGGAGACAGGGUUUCUCUGUGUAGCCCUGGCUGUCCUGAAACUCGCUCUGUAGACCAGGCUGGCCUCAAGCUCAGAGAUCCACCCUCUUCUGGCUCCGAAGUGCUGGGAUAAAGGAUUUAGGGAGUGUGUCCCCAUCAAUUAGCUGGCAAUUUCAUUUUAUUAAUAACGGGUUAAAGAUGGUUUCUUUGGCCCUCCUUGUUUUCCAUUCUUUUUUUUUUUUUUUAUUCUCUUCAGACUCAGGCUAAUGAUCUCGGCUGUUAGGUCAGCCAGCAUCUAAGUAACUCACCUUCAGAAGCUUCACCAGUGUGUUCCUUCAGGGAGACUCUGAGACGGAAGACUGAAGCUCAAACCACCAGAUGACAGCAGAUCAGACAGAGCAGUCUUUGUUUGUCCACAGCUUCAGUCACCUAAGGUCAGCUGUGGCCAGGAAACAGUAAAUGGAAAAUUCCAGAAAUCAUUCGUUGUCAAGUAGCCUAAAAUGGCCUUGAAGUCACUAUGGCAGCUGGAGAUGAUACUGAACUUUUGGUCUUGUUGCCUUUGCCUCCCAAGUGCUGGGAUUAUGGACAUGGGCCACGACACUCAGCUUGGUUUAAUUUCUUCCAGCCGUUGUAACACCCCACAUCAAAGGAAGAGACUUUUUCUAUGAUUAUUUGAAUAGAUUCAAAAGAAAAUUUUGACAAAAUCCAACACCUUUCAUAAAAAACAUUCAACAAAAGAAAGAUCUAAGAAAUUUCCUCUCAUCAUAAUGAACUGUAUGAAAAAGUGUCAGCUGAGACCAUAUUUGAUGAUGAAAGACUAGAUGUUUUUGCCCUAAGAUCAUCAACAACACAAGGACGCAUAUUCUCAGAACUUCUAGUCAGCAAUGUGCUAGAGGUCCCCGUCAUGAUAAUUCAUCACGGAAAGCACGGCUUUGCCUCAAAAAACCAAAAACAGCAAGCUGGGAAGAUGGCUAAUGAGUAAAGUGAUGGCUGAACAAUCGUGAGGACCCAGAUUCAGAUCCCCAUCACCCAUGUAAAAGCUCUGCUUAGCAGCAGCUAACUACAACCUUGGCGCUGGUGGUGGGGAGCAGAGGCAAGUGGGGCUGAGGGCUUACUGGCUGCUCAAUCCUGCUGACACAGUAAACUCCAGGUUCGUGGAGAGAACGCGUCUCAAAAACAAAUGGGGAAACUUGGAGCUUGAAAGACAGUUCAGCAGUUACGAACACUUGCACUCUUGCGGAGGGCCCAGGCUCACUUCCCAAGUACCCCCUGACGUGGCUUCUCACAACCAUCUGCCCCCCGUUUCUGCUGAGUGGACUCUAUGCCAGCUGAAUUGAUCUUACAGUAAAGUCUGAGGUAAGGACUCAAGCUCAUCCAUCCACAAGGGGAUAAUCUAUUGUACCAUUAGUUGCGACCAUAGUGGUUUCCCAUUCAAUUCUAUCAACACCAUUUUCACAAUCAUUGUGUAUAGGCACAUUGACUUACCUGAGUUCUUGUUUAUUUUAUAUUGAUGUCUGUCACCACCUUACACUAUCAUCACACUGUCUUGAUCACUGUUGUUUAAAGAACAGGAUUUGAAACUAGGAAGUAUGAGUUUCCUAACUUAGUUCUUCUUUUUCCAAACACUCAUCUCCUUUCAUGUUGACAUCAAGCUGCACCCUGUUCCAAGUUGGUAAGUUGGUUUGUGUUGCGUAAAACAGUAGGGUUUUUUUUUUUUGUCUGUACAAACUGCAUUUGACUCCAUUUUGUGGGCGCAUCAGAGGCAGAUGACUCUGCACCCUUUGGGCACAUAAGUAACGACGUCUAGUGGGAACCAUGAGGCAUAGAGACUGGUAGAUAACUCACCCGUCAAAGGGUGCCACCCUGUAACGGAGCAAAGUAACUUAAGCCCAUGGCUGUAUAAAAUCACAAUGGAAAACCAAAGCCGGGAGUGGUAGCUCCAUGGUCCCAGCACUUGGGAGGCAGAGGCAGGUGGAUCUCUGUGAGUCUGAGGCCAGCCUGGCCUACAAAACAAGUUCCAGGACAGCCAAGGCUAUGCAGGAAAAGCCUGUCUCAAAAAUGUUUUUCUGAAAACCAAGCUGAAGAGCUUCUCCAACACUCUGUACUGAAAUACAAGUGCAACACCUGGGCCAGGGAGACGAUGCCUCUGUUAAGAGCACUGACCUGGUUUAGUUCCCACAACCCACAAUGUGGCUCGUAGCCAUCUGUGGUUCCAGUUCUAGGAAAUCCAAUGCCCUCUUAUGGCUCCAGAAUACCAGACACGCACAUGGUACACAGGCAAAACAUCCACAGACUUUAAAAAAAAAUAAAAGUGUAAUACCGUUACCUGGAUACAUAGAAGACACCAAGCCCUGAAAUGGUGAUGGAUACCACGGAUCUGUGGUGUGCUUAUCUGAUGUGUGCGUCAAGGGACUGACAGACAACUCACAUCUGCCUCAGAGUUCCUGCUUGACUAAGUACCCAUUGUCGAUGUGGCCUGCUUGAAUUUCUGUUCAUUUAUCUAGACCUGGGUCUGUCUAUGGAAACUGGAGGAAGCUCUGCAUGAGUGAAGUCCUGAGUGAAUGUGCCUUGUUGAUGUGGGCACAGCCAUAACAAAUACUUGGACCCCUGGGAAAGUGGCAAAGGCAUUCUUCAUAUUGGCAAAGCCUUUUUUCUUAGGCUUUCUUAUUGCUAUGAUGAAACACCAUGACCAAAAGUAACCUGGGUUUAUUUGGCUUACACUUCCACAUCACUGCUCAUCAUUGAAGCAAGUCAAGCAGGGCAGGAGCCUGGAGGCCGGAGCUGAUGCAGGGGCCAUGAGGAGUGAUGCUCACUCACUUGCUCCUUGUAGCUUGUUCAGCUGCCUUCUUAGAAAACCCAGGACCACCAGCCCCGGAGUGGCACCACUCACAGUAGCCUGGGCCCUUCCACAUCCAUCACCAAUAAAGACAAUUCUCUACAGGCUUGCCUGUAGCCUGCUUUUUUUUGUUUUGUUUUGUUUGUUUUUCAAGACAGGAUUUCUCUGUGUAGCAACUCUGCCUGUCCUGAAACCUGGAACUCACUCUGUAGACCAGGCUGGCCUCAAACUCACAGAGAUGUGACUGCCUCUGCCACCCAAGUGCUGGAAUUAAAGACAUGCGCUACUACUACCCAGUCUGUAGCCUGAUUUUAUGCAAGCAUUUUUUCAAUUGAUGUUCCUUCAUCUUAGUUAACUAUAGCUUGUGUCAAAUUGAUGCAAAACCAGCCAGUACCUUUAGUAAAUUGUUGACCAGAGGCUUUGAUAAUUUAUUUCUUUUUGUUGUUGAUUUUUAGGGCAAAAACAUCUUGGUUUUCAUCAUCAAAUAUGGUCUCACCUGACAUUUUGUCUGUACACUUCAUUACCAUGAGAGGAAACUUCUUAGAUUUUUCUUUUAUUGAAUAUUUUUAUGAAAGGCGUUGGAUUUUGUCAAAAUUUUCUUUUGAAUAUAUUCAAAUAAUCACAGGAAAAAAUCUCUUUCUUUGGGCUGGAGAGAUGGCUCAGUGGUUAAGAGCAUUGCCUGCUCUUCCAAAGGUCCUGAGUUCAAUUCCUGGCAACCACAUGGUGACUCACAACCAUCUGUAAUGAAGUUUGGUGCUUUCUUCUGGCCUGCAGACAUACACAUAGACAGACCAUUGUAUACAUAAUAAAUAAAUAAAAAAAUUUUUUUUUUUAAAAAUCUCUUCCUUUGAUGUGGGGUGUUACAGUGGCUGGAAGAAGUUAAGCUAAGCUGAGUGUCGUGGCGCAUGCCCGUAAUGCCAGCACUUGGGAAACAGAGGCAACAAAACCAGAAGUUCAGUGCCAUCCCCAGCUGUCAUAGUGACUUCAAGGCCACUCCAGGCCACUUGAGAGUCUGUCUCAGAAGAAAAUAAACAAACCAUGAAAAAAGAAAGAUUUAACAACUUUUUAUUCCAGGGAUAUAUCCAAUCAAUAUGUAUAAUUUUUUUCUCUUUGCUGCCUUUGGUUUUGUCAGUAUUUGUCUUGGUAUCCUGGGUCUAUAUUCAUUAAAAGAC